rnacentral:lncRNA from 1 species
CACCUUCCCUGUGAGGGAAGCCAGGCCGGUAGUGGUUUUAUUUCCAAGUUACAGACUGACAAUCAAACAGAGUAAGCCACUUAAUUCAAGGUCACACUGCUACCAAGUGUUGGCGUUAGGACCAGUUGGCUUCUGUGCCCAAAGCCCACUAACCGUAUUAAACAAGCUGAAGUUUUCUCAGGUAGAUAAUUUUCCAGAGUUGCCUUUGACAAUUUUAAGAGCAACGGACCCACCAAAACUCUCCACCUUCUUUCCCCUCUGCAGAAGGCCGAGGAUGAGCAAGAUGGGCAACAGGCAGUGGGUACGACAUGCCCAGUUUCUUGCUUUGGAAUGUUGUUUUGAAAGGGGAAAACAUUCCCUCAGCUGCAGAUACUACAGAAGUAUCCCACUCUCCGUCUCCAUCAUCUGACAAGAGAGGCCGAGAGUACCAGGAAGACGACAAGAUUCUAGCCAUCGUUACAACCAGAUCACUGCACAGGCCACAUCUUUCCUUACUCUUCUACUCAUCCCGUGAAUAGGAGGGGCCUCACACCCAGGAUGAUGCCUUCUUUCUACCCCCAACUGUACAAGCUCAGCUUGCACACACUGCAAGGGGGUCAGCAGGAUAACCCCCUUCUCUGUGUCCUCUGCCUAAGACACUUGGGAGUUUUGCAUAAGUUUCUCCUGCUUGGCAUUUAAUUUCAUAAUACUGAUAUAAUCAUCUAUUUAGGUGGAUACAAGUUCCAGAUGAAUUCAGCUCUACAGAGGAUCCAAGACAUGAAUAUUCCCGAAUGCCCUGGGGAGAGACUGCAAAAGAACCAAGAGAGCUGAGGGUCUUUUAGGAGCAAGAGGCUGCAGGAUCAGAGAUAAAUGGUCAGAAUCGUGGACUCCGUCCAGGGGUAGAUGCGUGAAUGUUAGCUCCUGCCCACUCCAAAGGCCAGUUUCACACUGGCUCAGUGUCAGUGCAGGAAAAAGCAGAGAUCGACUACAGCAUAGCGUCUUCAGAGGCGCUAGAAAUUUGAGGAUUUCAUUUUCUGGCCCUCACACUGUCACAAGGCCAUGUACGCCAUACUUCUAAUAUACCAAGGCACCAUCUUGGAGAACGAUAAGGGGGAAGGCCACCUUAAAUAUAUGAGCAUUUACCUAGAUCAUUCAAGCUGGAGCUAGAUACCUGCGGACGCUGUUUUCGUUACUGAAUCUCACUGAGCGGACUGGUUUUGGCAGUGGAGCUGUAGGAAACACCUGUUCACCACCACCUCACAGGCUGGUAAACUUUUCACAGGAAGAAUGUUCAUUCUGUCAUAUAGCAAUCAUUUUGACCAUCAGCAAGAUGACUUCUGGGCCUAGCUUCAAAUAAGUACAUGUAAAGGUCAAAGACUUUUAUGAAUGCUAUAUUAUGACUUUCCCUGGGCCAAUCUGUAUCUGUUUACUUGCAGUCUUUUUAAUGUU